rnacentral:rRNA from 1 species
AGAGUUUGAUUCUGGCUCAGGACAAACGCUGGCGGCGUGCGUAACACAUGCAAGUUGAACGCGAAUAUAUGAGAAGUGGUAACACGGAUUGUAUAUUUGAGUAGCGGACGGGUGAGUACAACAUGAGAACCUAUCCUUCAAAGGGGGACAACGUUUGGAAACGGACGCUAAUACCCCAUAAGCCGAGAGGUUAAAGCAGCAAUGCGAUGGAGGAGGGGCUCGUGUCCUAUCAGCUGGUUGGUGGGGUAAUGGCCUACCAAGGCGACGACGGGUAGCCGGCCUGAGAGGGUGUACGGCCACACUGGAACUGAGAUACGGUCCAGACUCCUACGGGAGGCAGCAGUGGGGAAUAUUGGGCAAUGGGAGAAAUCCUGAUCCCAGCAGCCGCGGUAAU